CAGUGUCACACUUGGUGCGUGCCAGCUUUGCAUCUGAAGUUAAAGAGCCAGGGAACUGCACCAGAUCAGACCUCCGAGGAAGAAGCUUUUGCAGGAAUCCAUGACCACACAGAAGGAAAACGGAGACAGCAACCUUGUCUCCCAAAGGUGUUGUGGGAUUUCUCACCUGAAAAUCCUGCUUGCACGGCUGCUUCAUUCCGCUGGUUUCCCAGAUCAGUGCUGUACCUUCCUGAUUUGCUGUAGAAGGAUUGCCAUCUCAGCUCGUCUGCACUGCUUAAAGGUGGUUGCUUUGGCUUGAAUGUGCCAAGUGAGUUCCUUUUGAGGAAGCUGA
rnacentral:lncRNA from 1 species